UACGUAGGGUGCAAGCGUUGUCCGGAAUUAUUGGGCGUAAAGAGCUCGUAGGCGGUCUGUCGCGUCGGCUGUGAAAACCCGGAGCUCAACUCCGGGCCUGCAGUCGAUACGGGCAAACUGGAGUGUUGCAGGGGAGACUGGAAUUCCUGGUGUAGCGGUGAAAUGCGCAGAUAUCAGGAGGAACACCGGUGGCGAAGGCGGGUCUCUGGGCAACAACUGACGCUGAGACGCGAAAGCGUGGGGAGCAAACAGG
rnacentral:rRNA from 1 species